ensembl:lncRNA
UAAGUGCUCAUGAGACCUUUACCUGUACUGCUGUAGAAUUCAAGUGUUUAUUAAGCACAUAUUAUGUCUUAGGCAUAGUUUGAGAUAAGGCAGAGACUAAAACAGAUUCAAGAUACCUUUUUUUUUUUUUUUUUUUUUUUUGCUUUUUAGGGCCACACCUACAGCAUACGGAAGUUCCCAAGCUAGGCUUCGAAUCAGACCUGCAGCUGCGGGCCUACUCCACAGCCACAGCAAAGCAAGAUCCAAGCCACGUCUGUGACUUAUACCACGGUUCACAGCAGUGCUGGAUCCCCAACCCACUAAGUGAGGCCAGGGAUUGAACCUGCGUCCCCAUGGAUCCUAAUCAGAUUGGUUUCCACUGCUCCACAAUGGGAACUCCAGAAAAGGGUGUUUUUAUGGAACUCAUAUGCAUUUUAGUAUUUUGCAUCAUCCUCUGCUAUAUGUUCAUACAAACAUAUGUCUUUUCCUUCAGGAUGAAGAUAAAUCCUAGAAGGAGAGAUUUCCAGUCUGGCUUGUUUGACAUACAACGUCGGCAUCUUGUACAUGAACAGAUACAGUAUUUAUAUUGUCCUAGAAGUGUGAAGAUAAGCAGAUUUCAGCUUUUAACAUGAACACAUUUGUUGAGAGAGGAUAAUAGAUAUUCUACAGCUAGACAUCAAGAUUUCUGCAGAGACAUUUAAAUCCGGCUUACGGAGAAAGGUAAAGUAAAGAGGUAAAUUCCAACCAAGAAACGUUGUACUUGUAUGUUCCUCUGCUGUUGGACGAGUAUAAGUCGGUAUCACCGAGUGGAAAGUGACUCGGCGGCAUGCGGUGAAAAUAAUGAUGAUCACUCUGAUCUGGUGAACAUUCUGAUUAAAUAAUCUAAAGAAAGAAGAGUUACCAGCACGAAGGUACUGAUUACAGCCUCACUUGGGCUUAAAGGAGAAUCAACUGAGCUUAUAAAGUUAGGGUGAUUCAUAGGUCAGGCAAUGUCAUUAAUUUACCUCAUGAGUUUUUUUUUUGUGAUCUCAAACAUCAUAGUAACUAAAAUUUUAGUGACAUGGUAAUGCAAUAAUAAUUUAAGUGAAAAUCAGAAUAAAACCUACCCAUAAACUAUGAAAGAGGCA